AUCCCAGUUGUUAAAUUAUCGUCAAUGUAGUUAGCCCAAUUUUGUUUAAGGUAGUUUCUAAAAUCUUCAUUCUGAUACAGGUAAGUUGGGAAUCUCUAAUUGUGGGAGUAGGGUUGUGGUUUGGAUAGUUUUAAGAUCAAUCUUAUAGGGACGAGAUCAGAAAUAUCUAUGUUACCUAUACUGAAAUCUUCUAUUGAUGAUAAAUGAUUAGUUGAAAGAAAGAUAUUAUCUAUUCUUGAAUGUGAGUUGUGAACUGCUGAAUAGAAUGUAAAGUAUGGCGAAUGUUCAGAGAGUAGAAUUCUGUAUUUUUUUUGGUACUUUAAUACCCAAAUAUGUUAUGUGUGAUCUUGCUAAUGUAAAUGGAGAGUCAUUCCUGUCAUUUGUCCCUUCGACACCGAUAUCCAGUGCUUCUGAUUUAGUCGGAUUUAUUUGGUCUGCGAAUGUACUAAAGAGUUGGAUGGUAUCUAAAAUUGCGGGCAAUUCCGUUUGGGGAUGUUGAAUAAAUAAUAAGAUAUUAUCUGCGAAAGCUGUUAUCUUUGUUUUAAGUGUCCCAGAGGGAUUCCUUGAAAGGUUUUAUUAAGAAGGAGGUGUUGUAUUAAAGGGUCUAAUCCUAUGUUAAAUAAUAGAGGGGAGAGGGGGCAACACUGCCUGGUUCCCUGUUGAAUUCUAAAUUUUUCUGAGUUAUACCCAUUAACUGUCAGGAAGGUUUGAGGCGAGUCAUAUAAGGCUUUGAAAAGAUUAAGCAUGUGUAUCCCAAAGUGUUGGAAUUUCAGAACUCGUCGUAUAUGUGUGUGUGAGAUCCUAUCAAAUGCUUUAUCUGCAUCUAAGUUAAUUAAUAAACCUUGUCUUCUUUUGUCCUGGUUACAUUGAUAGAUUGUGGCUAUAGUUUUACUGAUCGCUUGUACAGGAUACCUGUUCUGGAGAAAACCCAUCUGAUUAGAGGUGCAUCUAGAAUUUCCCGAUCUUGGACUGUCAAUUUGUUCAAAUGGGCAUCCAGAAGAAAUUUAAGACCAUUCUCUGGAGCAUCCGGUGACUAUUGGUAGAGAUUUUUAAAAUGAUACGUCAUUAUUUUAGCAAUAUCUUGUGUAUCCCGAGUCCAUCCUGCAGAUGUUUUAAGUUUUUGAAUAAUGGUGUUUGAUUGUUGUCGUUUAACUAUGUUUGCUAAUAGUUUCCCUGACCUAUUCCCCCAGCGAUAAUAUCUAUUUGCUGUGUGACUCAGUUUAUGUUGCAAUUUGCUCUGUCAAUAAAGUGUUAAAAAGUA